rnacentral:rRNA from 1 species
UACGUAGGGUCCGAGCGUUGUCCGGAAUUAUUGGGCGUAAAGGGCUCGUAGGCGGUUCGUCACGUCGGGAGUGAAAACUCGGAGCUUAACUCCGAGCCUGCUUCCGAUACGGGCAGACUAGAGGUAGGCAGGGGAGAGCGGAACUCCUGGUGUAGCGGUGGAAUGCGCAGAUAUCUGGAAGAACACCGGUGGCGAAGGCGGUCAACUGGCCCUGAACUGACGCUCAGGCACGAAAGCGUGGGGAUCAAACAGG